CUUUAAAAUUUCCACCACACUUUUACUCACACUUGUGAUUAGGAGAUUCAUUACCGCUAUCAAUCAUAAUUGUCCUUUACAUUUGAAGUUUUAGAAGUGCCAGGCUGUGAGUGUCUGCCAAAUUUUUGAUCAUUGAAUUUCAUUUUUGGAAAUAUAUCAAGGAAUGGCCUUAUAUUUCAGGUACCCAACGGAAGAACCCUCAGAGGGGCUGCCUGGUGUGCAGUUUCUGGAUGCACCAGCAAUUCCAAAAGCAAUUCAAAGGACUCAGAAAAAACAAGUUUCUUCUACUUUCCUGCCGAUGAAAACAGGCUCGGUUAAACCUGGUACCAGCUACUCACUGAUCAUGGACCUCAAAGCAGUAGCAGCGAUGCCUCCCUGAACAUUCAGGAUGAAGCUGUUUUUGUGUUUUGCAUAUUCACUAUGAAUUGCUUUUAAGUAUAAGUGACAUGUCGAUGGUGAAACUACCAGACCACAUAUUGACGGUGAAACUAUACUAAACUUGUCUUGUCUUGUCUUGACUUGUCUUUUGAUAUUAUUUAAGAUUUUUCACUUAAAUAUUAAUUUUUACUACUUUAUCUUAAAAAGUGUGUUUCACAUGCUUUCUUUCAUUCAAGCUUUCAAUUAAAAGCAAUUUAUUAUGCUACCUUAGUACAGUUAAUUUACUGCAGCUAUUUAAUUUUCUCACUGAGCAGAACUUAUCUAAAAUUUUUACCAAACUACGUAUCUCGGUUUGCGACGUUGCAGACUUUCUCCCGUACUUUAUUUUUUAAAUAGAAAACUACUGAACGUAAAGUCUUGAAAAUCUCCCUGUUUUUCUUCUCUGUACAAAGAAAACUCUGUGCAAAUUUCAAGAAUUGUUAUUGGUUUGUUCUCUUUCAAAAAAAUAAAAUAGGAGUGGAGUUUUUCAAACACCGCAAACGAGAUACGUGGUCUGGUAGUUUCACCGUCGAUAUCUCGUUUGCUGUGUUUAAAAACCUCCACUCACAUUUUAUUUUUUUAAAAGAGGUCAAAUCAAUUGCAUUCCUUACAAUUUUCACAGAUUUUUCUCCGCACAAAGAGGAAAAAUCACGGAAGUUUUCACGAAUUGACGUUGAGUAGUUUCCCAUUUAAAAAAUAAAGUUUGACAGGAAAUCUGCGACGUCGCAAACCGAGAUAAGUGGUUUGGUAGUUUCACCGUCGAUGUCUACCAUAUCUUUGCCUGAAUUUUUGCUGGCUAUAAUCAAUCUAAAUUGUGUCAGAAUCAUAACAGUUAAUAUGAGAGAUAUUGGACGUUUUAAACUUACUAUUGUUGCUCAGGUUAAUUUUAAUUAGUUGUAAGUUUUUCCCCUCUGCUCAACUUUUCUGUAAAUGUCUAAAGUUAAUAGACGUUUUAGACUUUUAUUAGAACCAUAUCUUUGCCUGAAUCUUUGCUGGCCAUAAUCAAUCUAAAUUGUGUCAGAAUCGUAACAGUUAAUGUGAGAAAUAUUGGACGUUUUAAACUUACUAUUGUUGCUCAGGUUAAUUUUAAUUAGUUUUCAGUUUUUCCCCUCUGCUCAACUUUACUGUAUUUGUCUAAAGUUUAUUAGACGUUUUAGACUUUUACCUCACUCUGUGAAUGAUACUUAGUCUUCCUCUACAAGUUCUGUCUUUGACAUAAUUUGUCCUUUAUCUAAGGCGAUCGAAAGAUGUUUUUGAAAAUUUUGAUUGUAUAAGUGUGAUUUGGAGCUAUUUUUCCAGUUCCUCUAGUCUUGCACAAAUCUUUUCCUCAGGGCAAGGACUUCAAAGCAGUAGCAGUCAUUAUUAUGCCUCCCUGAACAUUCAGGAUGAAGCUGUUUCUGCGUUUUGCAUAUUCACUAUGAAUUGCUUUCAAAUAUAAGUGACAUAUCUACCAUAUCUUUGCCUGAAUCUUUGCUGGCUAUAAUCAAUCUAAAUUGUAUCAGAAUCAUAACAGUUAAUGUGAGAGAUAUUGGACGUUUUAAACUUACUAUUUUUGCUCAGGUUAAUUUUAAGUAGGUUUCAGUUUUUCCCCUCCGCUCAACUUUACUGUAAAUGCCUAAACUUUAUUAGACGUUUUAGACUUUUACCUCACUCUGUGAAUGAUACUUAGUCUUCCUCUACAAGUUCUGUCUUUGACAUAAUUUGUCCUUUAUCUAAGGCGAUCGAAAGAUGUUUUUGAAAAUUUUGAUUGUAUAAGUGUGAUUUGGAGCUAUUUUUCCAGUUCCUCUAGUCUUGCACAAAUCUUUUCCUCAGGGCAAGGACUUCAAAGCAGUAGCAGUCAUUAUUAUGCCUCCCUGAACAUUCAGGAUGAAGCUGUUUCUGCGUUUUGCAUAUUCACUAUGAAUUGCUUUCAAAUAUAAGUGACAUAUCUACCAUAUCUUUGCCUGAAUCUUUGCUGGCUAUAAUCAAUCUAAAUUGUAUCAGAAUCAUAACAGUUAAUGUGAGAGAUAUUGGACGUUUUAAACUUACUAUUUUUGCUCAGGUUAAUUUUAAGUAGGUUUCAGUUUUUCCCCUCCGCUCAACUUUACUGUAUUUGUCUUUGACAUAAUUUGUCCUUUAUCUAAGGCGAUCAAAAGAUGUUUUUAAAAAUGUUGAUUGUAAAAGUGUGAUUUGGAGCUAUUUUUCCAGUUCAUCUAGUCCUACACAAAUCUUUUCCUUAGGCGAAGGAAUAUUCAUUUCUCUACCUUCUGAUGAAUUUGUAAUUUCAUAUUCUAGUGUUCUAUGGAUGAUUUUAUUGCUUUGAUCAGUUUUAUUAUGAGAGCUUCUGCAUGAUUCUAAAAUCCUGCUCAAAUUCUUCCUUUCUUCUCUGUCUCUUUAUUUUUCCUUUUCUGCUGUAAUGGUCAUUUCAGGGCAGUGUUAAUUACAGUCACUGACCAUUUUAAUUUGUCCUCUCCGUUAUAUGUGGCGUAAAAUAUUCGAAGUGUGUUAUGUUUAAUUAUCAAAAUACAUUCAAGUUCUUUUGGCUUCUUUUAUUUUGACUGUUAUUGCAUUAUUAUCCUGAACUGAUGAAUAGCACCUAGCACUGACUUAGUAGUUAAAGCUGUGUCAUGAACAUUCAAUGACUAUGCCCCAUCAUAUAAAUGUUAUAGAAUUUUUUUUUUUCCUUAUGUAUUGUAACAAAAUGCGCAGAAGUUGUAAGCAGAGUAUAAUGAAGGAGCACCAUUAUUUCUGGCAUGAAAUAGGAGACAAGGAACUACAAAUUCUGCCAUUCCUGGGAUGGUGUGAAUGUUAAAGUAAGGGGCUUGGAGGACAAGUUGCACUAGUGCAGUUCCUUGAAUAAAAUACAGUAUCAAGCAUUUCAACAGAAACAGG
rnacentral:lncRNA from 1 species